GUGCCAGCCGCCGCGGUAAUACGUAGGUGGCGAGCGUUAUCCGGAAUUACUGGGCGUAAAGCGCAAGCAGGCGGCUCAUUAAGUUUGACGUGAAAUCUCCCGGCUUAACCGGGAGGGGCCGUUGAAAACUGAUAAGCUUGAGGCGAUGAGAGGGGUGUGGAAUUCCCGGUGUAGUGGUGGAAUGCGUAGAUAUCGGGAGGAACACCAGAGGCGAAAGCGACACCCUGGCAUUUGCCUGACGCUGAGAUGCGAAAGCGUGGGGAGCAAACGGGAUUAGAUACCCUGGUAGUCC
rnacentral:rRNA from 1 species